ACACACACGAUAUACACUUCUGUCUCAAACACUACCAACCCUCACCCCCACUCACAACCAGCGGUCACCACCGGCGCUCGCCACCUGCAAAUCGCCACCACCACCGCCACCUGCAAAUCGCCACGGCCACAUAAUCACAGGUGAGGAAAAAUUUGUUUGGAUCCACGGAAGCCACAUAUUCAGGCUACACUUGUUACACUGGUAUUGCAGAUUUUGUGCCUGCUGAUAUUGAGACCGUUGGACUUCUUUAUUCUGUACCUUACGUCUUGAGGGGAGAGGCUUAGCUCGCAAUGGAGCUUGAUAAGGCUUGGCAGCGAAGCAUUGAGUCAGGAAGUCCUAUAGAUGUUGUCUCUUCUCUAAGAAGGUCAAGUUAGACUUCCUCACCGGAGUGCUUAAUUGAGGCAUUUUGCUUUAAAAGAGAACAUCUAUGAAGCAGCAACUACAUUGUUCUUAUUCAAAAUUGUUAUUGAAUGAUGCAGCAACUACAAUGGAGGGGCUAUAUCGAAGCAAUUAAAGAGAUAGAGCAGCAACUCCAUAGUGGGAAUAGUGAAGCAGGGUUUGAUGACAUUGUUGUUGCAUGUGGCAGGGGGUUGGUUUACACAUUCUGCUCUUUUCAGCACCUGAAUUUAUAGAACCAUCACUAGGUACAACCUUUUUUCCCAAUUUACUUGGGUUUCUUGUGGGAUGAUGCCAAUGGUUCCACUAUAAGGUCAAUUUGCGAUAGCUGCAUGUAUCUAGGUUGUAAACAUACUAUAUGCAACUGAGGUAUUGUAUUGUUUGACAUCUCUACAAACCUUUAAAAUUCUACUAAUAACCUAUGGAGGUUAUGCACAACUUUUGGGGUUAGGUUUGAGAAAGUGGAAGAUAGUAAGCUGAAUGGGGAAAGGGCACGAAUAGGCUUGAAAUAGAAGGUGACAGAUUGCUAAAAGUAACAUUAUAUGGUGCAA